rnacentral:rRNA from 1 species
CUUAUUCUAAGGCGCUUGAGAGAACUCUGGAGAAGGAACUCGGCAAAUUGACACCGUAACUUCGGAAGAAGGUGUGCCUUUAGUAGGUGAACCAUUUACUUGGGGAGCCCAAUGAGGCCGCAGAGAAUCGGUGGCUGCAACUGUUUAUUAAAAACACAGCACUCUGCAAAGACGAAAGUCGACGUAUAGGGUGUGACUCCUGCCCGGUGCUGGAAGAUUAAAUGAUGGGGUGCAAGCUCUUGACUGAAGUCCCAGUAAACGGCGGCCGUAACGAUAACGGUCCUAAGGUAGCGAAAUUCCUUGUCGGGUAAGUUCCGACCUGCACGAAUGGAGUAAUGAUGGCCACACUGUCUCCUCCAGAGACUCAGCGAAGUUGAAAUGUUUGUGAUGAUGCAAUCUCCCCGCGGAAAGACGGAAAGACCCCAUGAACCUUUACUGUAGCUUUACAUUGGACUUUGAACAGAUCUGUGUAGGAUAGGUGGGAGGCUUUGAAGAGUGGACGCUAGUUUGCUUGGAGCCAACGUUGAAAUACCACCCUGGUGUGUUUGAGGUUCUAACCUUGGUCCCUUAUCGGGAUUGGGGACAGUGUAUGGCGGGCAGUUUGACUGGGGCGGUCUCCUCCCAAAGUGUAACGGAGGAGUUCGAAGGUACGCUAAAUACGGUCGGAAAUCGUGUUGAUAGUGCAUUGGCAUAAGCGUGCUUGACUGCGAGACUGACUAGUCGAGCAGGUACGAAAGUAGGACAAAGUGAUCCGGUGGUUCUGUAUGGAAGGGCCAUCGCUCAACGGAUAAAAGGUACUCUGGGGAUAACAGGCUGAUACCGCCCAAGAGUUCAUAUCGACGGCGGUGUUUGGCACCUCGAUGUCGGCUCAUCUCAUCCUGGGGCUGUAGCCGGUCCCAAGGGUAUGGCUGUUCGCCAUUUAAAGAGGUACGUGAGCUGGGUUUAAAACGUCGUGAGACAGUUUGGUCCCUAUCUUCCGUGGGCGCUGCAAGAUUGAGAGAGCCUGCUCCUAGUACGAGAGGACCGGAGUGGACGCACCUCUGGUGUAUCGGUUGUCACGCCAGUGGCAUCGCCGAGUAGCUAAGUGCGGAAGAGAUAACCGCUGAAAGCAUCUGAGCGGGAAACUCGUCUCAAGAUGAGUCUUGCCGGGGCCUAGAGCCCCCUGAAGGGUCGUUCGAGACCAGGACGUUGAUAGGCUGGGUGUGGAAGCGCGGUAACGCGUUAAGCUAACCAGUACUAAUUGCCCGUGAGGCUUGACAC